GAUGAACGCUGGCGGCGUGCCUAAUACAUGCAAGUCGAACGCUUCACUUCGGUGAAGAGUGGCGAACGGGUGAGUAAUACAUAAGUAACCUGGCAUCUACAGGGGGAUAACUGAUGGAAACGUCAGCUAAGACCGCAUAGGUGUAGAGAUCGCAUGAACUCUAUAUGAAAAGUGCUACGGGACUGGUAGAUGAUGGACUUAUGGCGCAUUAGCUUGUUGGUAGGGUAACGGCCUACCAAGGCGACGAUGCGUAGCCGACCUGAGAGGGUGACCGGCCACACUGGGACUGAGACACGGCCCAGACUCCUACGGGAGGCAGCAGUAGGGAAUUUUCGGCAAUGGGGGAAACCCUGACCGAGCAACGCCGCGUGAAGGAAGAAGUAAUUCGUUAUGUAAACUUCUGUCAUAGAGGAAGAACGGUGGAUAUAGGGAAUGAUAUCCAAGUGACGGGACUCUAUAAGAGAGCCACGGCUAACUACGU
rnacentral:rRNA from 1 species